rnacentral:rRNA from 1 species
UGCCAGUAGCCGCGGUAAUACGGAGGGGGCUAGCGUUGUCCGGAUUUAUUGGGCGUAAAGGGCUCGUAGGCGGCUUGGAAAGUCAAUCGUGAAAACCCGGGGCUCAACCCCGGGACGCCGGUCGAAACUUCCAUAGCUAGGGUCCGGUAGAGGUGAGUGGAAUUCUCGGUGUAGCGGUGAAAUGCGCAGAUAUCGAGAGGAACACCAGUAGCGAAGGCGGCUCACUGGGCCGGUACCGACGCUGAGGCGCGAAGGCGUGGGGAGCGAACGGGAUUAGAUA